CCCUUUGGACCAUGUUCUGCUGAAGGCUCCUUCCUGACCUUGCUCAGCCUCCUCAAUUCCUCUCCGUCUUCCUCUCACAGCCCUUUAUCAAGCCCACAUUUGCCAGUGCCUCCACCCAGCUGCCUAAGAAUUCCUCAGCCCUGUGCAACCCAAGAAAGCAGUCCAGGCCCCCUGCCCCUUCUUGUCCCCCUUCUUGCUGGCUCUGAAGUGGAGGGCUGGGCUCUGACCCCAAAAGGAGGGGGAGUAGGGGGAAGGUGGACGCCUGGAUCCAGCUCACCUUCUUCAUCAUCAGGAAGCUGCCCCAAAGCAGGCACGCGUCGUCAUGGCGAGUGCUCAUGUUCUUCCUACAAUGGCCCAGUCUGGCCAUGUGUGAGCAGAGCAGAGAGUCCUCAUGAUAAAGUGGAUUUGGUCAUGUGUUUGUGAAAUAAGCCCGUAUUGGAUGACUUUGAAACCUGCUGUUGUGGUUGCUAUUGUAAAUGUUUCCCCCAUGACAUAUUCCAACUGGUUAUUGAUACUAUGUAAUAAAGCAAUUGAUUUUUAAAAAUUUUUUGGACCCCCCCCCGGCUGUCAUUUAAAAAUUAAUAUUAAUUUAUAUUUAUUGGAUUUUCUGAGGUUUUUCCAGGGAGAAGUCAUAAUGAAAACUUUGCUUUUUCUUUUUUAAAGAAAUAAGAUACCUCUUAUUUCUUCUUGUUGCUCUAGUUUUGGCUAGAACUCCCAGAACAAUAUUGAACAGCAGUGGGGACUGCAAGAAACCUUGGUGUGUUCUGGAUUUUAAUGGGGAUGCCUUCAUUGUUUUAUUGUGAAGCAUGACAUAUGCUUUCAGCAUACCAUGUUUUUACUGUUAGUUUCAAGGGACUUCUCUUUAUUCUGCUAUGGGAAAAUAAGAGUUUUUUUAAAACUCAGUAAUAAAUACUCAAUUGUAUCAAAUAUAUUCCAGUAUCCAUUUACAGUAUAUUUUUUCUUUGAGUUAUUAAUAUUGUGAAUAUAUUUUUUUUUCCUUCCCCCUGAGACAGUCUCACUCUGUCAUCCUGGCUGGAGUGCAGUGGUGCAAUCUGGGCUUACUGCAACCUCCAACUCCCGGCUUAAGCAAUCCUCC
rnacentral:lncRNA from 1 species